GUAUAACUAGAAUUGAUGAAUGACAAAACGUUGAUCUACAAAUUAAUGCAUAUCAGAUAUUAAAGACAACCACGUCAACUCUUCUCUUUUUUAGUUAUGAUUGAUUAAUUGUUUGAUCGCUAAAAUUGUCAAGAUCUGUCUAUAUAUUUUACAAUCGUAAGCAUACACGUUAAUCAACAGUGCAUAUCGUGGUACUUGUUUUUUUUAAAAUUUCAAAUUUCGUUUGUCUACGAUAACAUAAAAUAAUUGAAUGUAAUAACUCCUUCAACAUUUAAACGGACUACACUGAGCCUUGUGGUUGACUUUGUUCUUUUUUAUAGGAGCAAGACGUCAGCCAUGAAAAUUUUCGAAGCGUGGAUUUUAACAUCAUGGAUAACAACCGUUUAUUUUUUUUUAUCAUGUUCAGGCAUGAGUAAUAUAGUUUUACUACGAAGACUUGAGUUGUAAUUUCAAAACAUUAACAUUUGUCAUCUGAUAGAUCAGAGGUCAAGGUUAGUUUUCGUUAGUAAUUAACAGUACUAAGAAUAAUUUACAUAAUUAUACUGGUUAUAUAUGCGCGUGAAAUCCUUAAGCAGUUUAAAUGGAAGGGUUUCGUUAUACCAUGUACAGAACGUGUUGAGUUGUCAGUUCAUCACACAGUUACAUAUCGUAGGUACUCACCAUAGCUUCAGCGUACAGUUUAACCUUUAUUGUAAUAUUUAUGAUUACGAAUCAUAAAGACUUUUAAGUUACAUAUAAUGAGCGUUGAACAAUUUUGUUCUUUGCCCAUGUAAAAGGGUAAUUGAAUUAUUCUGUCAUUAACUUUUUGUUGGAAGAUCAAAAACAAAUUUACCGCGAACAACUUAACAUUUACUAGAUUUUUGUCUUAUUGAUACGAAGACAUUUAGUGAAGAAAUACUUGAAAACAAAUUCGGAUAGUUUUCAAUCCAGGGCAUCCUUAAGCAAUAAGGUUUACAGGUUAGCAGUGUUAAACUAAAGAAAAAAAAUAUAUAUAUUAUAGACUGCACUUUGUAAAUACAGCUGUUUCUCAAAGCACGCCUCUUUUGGGGAGAUCUAAAAUAUUCAUAGAAAAUUAAUUUUGUUUACAUACUGGUUCCCAGUUAUGCUCUCUGUGUUCCAUCGCAUAGAGACACAACUUGGGAAUGUUACCAGUGAAUAUACAUGUGCAUAUUGUUUACAUUGAAAUCUGUGGUAGGGGUAGUUAAGAAAAUUUGUGUUAGUUUAAACUCUGAAACGC
rnacentral:lncRNA from 1 species